CACCUUGCACUUAUCACUGGUUUAUCACUUCCUUAUGCCUUCUCUGGGUUAAUACAUCUGCCCCAUAUCGUUAACCUGCAGCAGGAGAAGGCAGCCAAAGAGCACAGAGAUAUCAAUGUAUGGGUCUAUCAAGGAAGCCACUUACCAAUAUCCAUUAUCAACACAGAUAACAUUAUACUUUUUUUUUGUACAUUUGUAAAUAUUGCAUUAUAAACACCAUGACUAUAUGAAGGAACAUAUCUCACUUCUUCCUUAUUUGAUCCUUCCUUUUCUUUUUAAGGGAAAACUGACUUGCAGGAAAGUGGAUUUGCCGCCUGAGGCAGCUAUUUUGUGUGCUGAACUAAUGUUAUGAGAUUGUGGCCAAUCAGUACCUUAAUAUUAGUCAAACCCAAGUGAUAUUGCCGGUAUCAAAUUGAACCUCUUCUUAGUGGUUCAGCCAACAAAAUGUCUGCCCUCAUUGUGCAUAUAGGUGGCCGGACCACAUUCGGUAUGAUGGGGCAGUGUUAAACAGAUUGUAUUAAUUUCUUACGUGGCCUUUGUUACAAAAUGGAAAUGGGAUACCUUGAGAACUUUUCAGAAGUUUAAUAUACUCCAAUUUGUUUUCAUCCACCUCUAAUGACAGGGCUUGUCCAUGCAGCCAUUUUGUUUUUCUUGUGCACCUUUAAAGCUCUUCCACACAGUUCUAUGGAAUGUAAAAGAAAAACCCUUAUUUCUGUUUGCAAGUUAGCAAAAGGUAUGCUUUCAUUUUUUUAGGGGUAUUUGAAUUUCACAAAUAGAACAAAUAUUCCUGAAAAAGUACCAACAUUUAAAAACAAGAAGAGACAAAUAAAUGUCUGUGCGGUUGAGCGCAAAUGUCAUUGUCACCCCCUUAUAAGGCCAGUCUCCCAUGUUGUCUCUUUCUGAACCUUUCCCUUCUCUGACCUCUUGCAGAAGAAGAUAAUGAUUCUGAUUUGCUGUGUAAUCCUUGUCAUUAUCACAGCAUCUACAAUUGGAGGAAUCUUUGCCUGAGAUGUGGAACGUAAACAGCCAGUGGGUCAUGUAACCAAGAUGAAGGAAGAUAAUGAAUGUAAACAGACUGCACUGGAUACUGAGUGACUUCAUUAAAGAAUUCAUGAAAGAA